AGUGAACGCUGGCGGUAGGCCUAACACAUGCAAGUCGAACGGCAGCACAGUAAGAGCUUGCUCUUACGGGUGGCGAGUGGCGGACGGGUGAGGAAUACAUCGGAAUCUACUUUUUCGUGGGGGAUAACGUAGGGAAACUUACGCUAAUACCGCAUACGACCUACGGGUGAAAGCAGUGGAUCUUCGGACCUUGCGCGAUUGAAUGAGCCGAUGUCGGAUUAGCUAGUUGGCGGGGUAAAGGCCCACCAAGGCGACGAUCCGUAGCUGGUCUGAGAGGAUGAUCAGCCACACUGGAACUGAGACACGGUCCAGACUCCUACGGGAGGCAGCAGUGGGGAAUAUUGGACAAUGGGCGCAAGCCUGAUACAGCCAUACCGCGUGGGUGAAGAAGGCCUUCGGGUUGUAAAGCCCUUUUGUUGGGAAAGAAAAGCAGCAGGUUAAUACCCCGCUGUUCUGACGGUACCCAAAGAAUAAGCACCGGCUAACUUCGUG
rnacentral:rRNA from 1 species